GACGGAGGAUGCAAGCGUUAUCCGGAAUGAUUGGGCGUAAAGCGUCUGCAGGUGGCAGUUCAAGUCUGCUGUCAAAGACCGGGGCUUAACUUCGGAAAGGCAGUGGAAACUGAACAGCUAGAGUAUGGUAGGGGCAGAGGGAAUUCCUGGUGUAGCGGUGAAAUGCGUAGAGAUCAGGAAGAACAUCGGUGGCGAAGGCGGCUCUCUGGAACGGUACUGACGCUGAGACGCGAAAGCGUGGGGAGCGAACAGG
rnacentral:rRNA from 1 species